CGCCGCGCUCCAGUUUGGCAGCCCCCUCUCCACCUCUCCCUUCCACUGGAAUAUCUCCGAUAGCUCUCCGACCUCACCAACCUGCAAGCAAUUGUAAUUCCAUCAUCAACAACAACAACAUUGCUAGGAGCAGGUUUCUAGGGCUGUGGUAUUGUUCCCAUCCUCGUACUCGAGCGAACUCUUCGAGCAUGUCUCUGAGUUCCUGCAGUGAGACGUCUUUGGCGGUUUUCUCAGAGUUACUAAAUACAACUUCUCCUUGACCUGAUCAUCCUAUUCGCUCCAGGAGCAGGUCGAGAUCUUGGAACUCUCACUCGAGGAGUAAGUUAGCACACAGUGAAGUAUCAUCAAAAUGCACACUCCAUCUCUGUCAAUAAUCUUGUUCAUUUCCCUAUCCUUUACCGUCGAGUUGUUUCGUCCCCUAGUCAAGUAUAAUUUGCUACCGUUUGAGUUUGAAA